rfam:Lactobacillus agilis DSM 20509 NODE_26, whole genome shotgun sequence.
UGCGAUGAGUCGAGGAAAACCAGGCAAUCAUUGAUUGUUCCGCUAAAGCGGCUAGUGGUAAGAAUCGAAAGGGGACACAGAUGCUACCGGAUUGUAGCGUGUCUGGCUGUUAGUAUUGUGGAGUAC